rnacentral:ncRNA from 1 species
UAAGCUGCAGCGAGUAGGAGGGCCGCUGCGGUGAGCGUUGAAGGUGUCGGGCGUAAGCCCGCCUGGAGCCGCCGCUGGUGCAGAUCUUGGUGGUAGUAGCAAAUACUCAAGUGAGAACCUUGAGGACUGAAGUGGAGAAGGGUUCCAUGUGAACAGCAGUUGAACAUGGGUCAGUCGGUCCUAAGGGAAAGGAGAAGUUCUUUCCGAAGCGGGAGCACUUUUUUGCAGUGGAGAGAGCCCCGCAGUGACCGAAAGGGAAUCGGGUUAAUAAUCCCGAACCCGGACACGGAGAUUGGUCCUUCGGGGCCCAGUGCGGUAACGCAAACCAGCUCGGAGACGCCGAUGCGAGCCCCGGGAAGAGUUUUCUUUUCUCUGUAAGGAGAUCGAGUCCCUGGAAUGGGUUCGCCCCGAGAUAGGGAUGGUGGCUCCGUAGAGCAGUGCGGUUCUUGCGCUGUCCGGUACGCUCGCGUCGGCCCUUGAAAAUCCGAGUGAGGGAGUGUGAUUUUCGUGCCGGACCGUACCCUGCUGGAAAAAAGAGCUAAAAUCUCAUUCAUUUUUGCACCAAAACCAAUGUGCAUGAAGCC